CCCAGGUGCCGAAUGGAGGCACAGAUCGGUGGGAGGCCAGCUGAGAAGCAAAACUCUAAGGGCUGAGAAGGACCUUGGGAAACAUGAUCAUCCAUUUGUUCAUCGUAUAUGCCCGAGUCUUGGCUCUGCGCUCUGGGCAGGCCCCAGGGUGGCACUGACUUUGAAGGGCAUUGGGGCAGAACCACCAUAUGUCAGAGAGCCAGACAGGCCUCGGCGGCCCUUCACCUCACACUGCACACCCACCACGCCUACCUCAAGAUGAGGCCACCAGGUUGCAGAGGGGGACAACUUGCCAGCUCCCCCCAAGCAGCUCUGGACUUGAACCUAGGCCACUCCCAUGGCACCAGGCAACAGCGGCUUCUGGAUGGAGGAGACCUCAGGACUCGUGCUCCAGAGCCACGGAGGACAGGAGUGGGGCCCUAUCUCCACAUCACUUCCACGGUAUCCCGGGACGAGUGGGUUCUGUGCCAGCCCUCCACAAACACAAUCACCUUUGCUCCUCACGACAAGCCUCCCCUGGAGAUUACUAUUCUUCCCUCCGACUGGUGAGUGGAAGUGGCUUGACUGGGGUCCCCCGCUGGCUAGCUGCAGACUGGGCUGGGGCCCGAAGCCCUUUCUACCGCCCUGCACUGUGUGGCUGAGGAAGGAACUCCCCCUCCAGAAGAGCAUGUAAACCAACCCACCGCCCAGUCAGAAGCAGAACAUACUUGUUUUGGGCAUUUCCGAACUUUCCAAAGGGGUCUCCGGCCAUCCCGCCAUCACCAGUAAAGAUGUAGAGAUACCCAUCGUCCCCGAACAGCAGCUGGCCCCCGUUGUGGUUUGAGGCUGGUUCUUCGAUCUCCAGGAUUAUCCUAAAAGAAGAUAAGCCACCCCCACCAAACAAACAAAUAAACAAAACACCAACCUCAACCAAAAACAUAAAACAAGAUCACAGCAAUAAAACCUCCUCUUUUGGAUGCCAUUUCACAGUUGAAAAGACUUUUCAUAUCUUUCAUAGCAGGUGAUUUUUAUGAGACUCUAGUAGGCAGGGCAGGGAUAAUUCCCUCCAUGGUGCUAAUGAGGAACUGGAGUCUCAGAGAGGUUGAGCAACUUGCCCAAGGUCACACAGCCCAUAGGUAGCAGAGCUGGGACUAGAACUCAGGUCUUCCUACCACUCCCCACCACUAGCUCCCCAAGUUAUGAUCCUGUGAAACUGUGGACCUUGUCACCGGCCCAACUGGUUUCUUCGUAAUCGUAGCUACCUGCAUACCAGCCACUUAAGCCGAGCACUUUCUACACAUCCCCUUCAUUUGUUAGGUACUGUAACUUCUAAGGAGGUGGGGUGCACCGUGUGGGUUGUGCUCAGCUACCCAGCCCCUCAGCGAUCUCCUUUACUGCCAGGCCAGAAAGCCUU